rnacentral:tRNA from 1 species
GGACGCGUAGCUCAGUUGGUUAGAGUAUCUCCUUGACAUGGAGGGGGUCGGAAGUUCGAGUCUUCUCGCGUCCACCA